rnacentral:rRNA from 1 species
AAACGAAAGUAUGACACAGAGAGGACACAUUUAAUUGAGCCCGUCAAAUUAAGUGCCAGCCGACGCGGUUAAACUUAAGGGCUGGUCUUUAUAAGUAAAAAGGCGUAAAGGAUGUGUAGGCCAAGAAACGAUCCAAGUAGGUAAAUGGAAUUUUUCUGGAGCGGUAGAAUGUGAGGAUAGAAAAUAGAACCCCUAAGGUAAAAACUAUUUACUACAAGGUAGGCUGAAACAUGAGAGUGUGGGGAGCAAACAGGAUUAGAGACCCUGGUAGUCCACACUGUGAACUUUGAAGAUGAUGCUUAGCAGACCCGAAAGGUAAAAUCUUCCGCCUGAGUAGUACGAUCGCAAGAUUAAAAUUCAAAAACUUUGGCUGUUCACUAUUUCGAUUAGAGGAGCGUGUAGUUUAAUUCGAUGGUCCGCGUGUUACCUUACCCCAACUUGAAUCUGUGACCGGUAUUGCAUGGCCGUCGUAAGUUCGUGUAUUAAGCUAGAAGGGACCCAACCCGGGCACUUGCCCGGAGGAAGUCAGGUCUUAUGAUCCGAAUGUUGGGGGAUUUUAUGCGCUACAUUUUCUUAUAUAAUGAGAAACCUGGAAGGUGAAUCUCUAAAGUAAGAGUUCGGAAGGUCGCUGUAAGACGACUGGAAGUUGGAUUUAAUAGUAAUCGGAAAGUAGGGCGUUCCGGUGAAUUGGUACAAGUGUUAGCACAAAUUGCCCGUCACCUUUACUUAGAAUGGUUAUUCGGA